rnacentral:rRNA from 1 species
GACGAACGCUGGCGGCGUGCUUAACACAUGCAAGUCGAACGGGAAGGCCUCUUUCGGGGGGUACUCGAGUGGCGAACGGGUGAGUAACACGUGAGUAACCUGCCCUUGACUUUGGGAUAACUUCAGGAAACUGGGGCUAAUACCGGAUAGGAGCUCCUGCUGCAUGGUGGGGGUUGGAAAGUUUCGGCGGUUGGGGAUGGACUCGCGGCUUAUCAGCUUGUUGGUGGGGUAGUGGCUUACCAAGGCUUUGACGGGUAGCCGGCCUGAGAGGGUGACCGGCCACAUUGGGACUGAGAUACGGCCCAGACUCCUACGGGAGGCAGCAGUGGGGAAUAUUGCACAAUGGGUGGAGGCCUGAUGCAGCAACGCCGUGUGCGGGAUGACGGCCUUCGGGUUGUAAACCGCUUUCGCUCAUGACGAAGCUUUGUGUGACGGUAGUGGGUAAAGAAGCACCGGCUAACUACGUG